UAUCGCCCCUAUUCCUACAAAAGGAAAAAUCCCAUUAAAAAAAUCAUAAGUUUCACGGCCCAACUCGGACGUGUUCAAAUCGUUAACUCACAAAUCUAGUCCCGAGUCAGUCCCAUUUUCUCACAAGCGAUAAAAUUGGCCGUUGUUACUUCUUCCCUAUUAGGGCGCUCUCUCUCAAAUCUCCAAAAUCCCGAAGAAAGUUUCCAUGGCGGUUAUGAAACCCUAACCAGGAUCUUCACGAGCCCUAGAUCACUCUAAACUCAAAAACGAAGCCGAACAGGUUCAUUAUUCCGGCAGAAAAUAGAUUUUCUGGAAACCUUAGGGGGCUGUUUGGAAACUAGUGUGAUCAAAUCCAGGGCUCGAUGGAUCGAUCAACGGAGCCUAAGGUACCAAGGCCUAGAGGUAGGCCGAGGAAACAUAGGAGACCAGAAGAAGAAAAUGAAAAUACUGCCGUUGAUACGAAAUUCAAUAAUUCCAAAACUAAAAAGUGGCCAUUGGAGACCAGAUCCAUGGCCCUCGUAGGUAGAUACGUCUUGAAACAAUUUGGGAAGAAUGUUUUUUUAGGGAAGAUUGUUUCAUACGAUACCGGAUUGUACAGAGUAGAUUAUGAGUAUGGUAAUUUUGAGGAUCUGGAGAGUGGGGAGCUUCGCAAGUUGAUUUUAGAAGAGUCAUAUUUCGAUGAUGAUUUGAGUAGAAGAAAAGUUAGAUUAGAUGAAUUAGUGUUAAGCAGGACUGUAAAGGAGAGUGAGUUGGAGGAAAAGAAGAAAGUGGAGAUUUUGAAAAAAGAGGUUGAUAGAGUGGAGCCUUCAGCUUUAAGUGAGUUGAGUGGUGGAAUGAUGGUCGACAAUGAGGGGGAGCAAGUUGAAGAUGAUGAUGCAGAUUCUUCAAGCGAUUCCUGUGAGCAUGCACGUGAUAGUGAUUUGUCUUUGGAGCCUGAGGUUCCUCUUAUUCCACCCCUGAUGUUGCCUCCUUCUUCAGGAACAAUUGGUUUGCCAGAGGAAUGCGUUUCACAUCUGUUUUCUGUUUAUGGUUUUCUAAGGUCGUUUAGCAUCAUUUUGUUUUUAAGCCCGUUUGGAUUAGAUGAUUUUGUGGGGUCAUUAAAUUGCUGUGGUCCAAACCCAUUAUUGGAUGCUGUUCAUGUUGCUUUGAUGCGAGCAUUGAGUUGUCAUCUUGAAACAGUGUCUUCAGAAGGCUCGGAGCUUGCAUCAAAAUGCUUGAGGUGCCUGGAUUGGAGCUUGCUCGAUGCACUUACUUGGCCUGUCUAUUUGGUCCAGUAUUUUAUGUUAAUGGGAUAUGCAAGAGGACCCGAGUGGAAAAGAUUUUACAAAGAUGUCUCUAAAAGAGAGUACUAUUCCUUACCUGUGAUCAGAAAGUUGAUGGUUCUACAACUUCUAUGUGAUGAUGUAUUAGAAUAUGCAGAGAUGAGAGCUGAAAUUGACAUGCGUGAGGCAAUGGAAGUGGGAACAGAUCCUGAUGCAGUUGCUACUGAUCUUUCUGAAAGAGGACCUAGAAGGGUUCAUCCUAGACAUUCUAAAACUUCAGCAUGCAAGGAGAGGGAGGCAAUGGAGAUCAUUGCGGAAAGCCAUGAGGUCAAGUCAUCAUCUAGAACAUUUUCUUUAGGUUUGAAAAGCACUGAAGGUAAUGCUGGUGUUGAUGCUGAUGUAGAUGGAAAUAAUGAUGAGUGUCGUCUUUGUGGCAUGGAUGGGACAUUGCUUUGUUGUGAUGGGUGUCCAUCUGCAUAUCAUUCGAGGUGUAUAGGUGUCAUGAAAAUGUAUAUACCUGAAGGGCCCUGGUAUUGUCCGGAAUGUGCAAUUAAUAAAAUGGGACCAGCAAUCACAAUAAACACAUCACUUAGAGGAGCAGAACUUUUUGGUGUUGAUUUAUAUGGGCAAGUCUUCUUGGGUACUUGUAAUCACUUGCUAGUGUUGAUGGCUUCCCCUGGCACUGAAUCAUAUCUCAGAUACUACAAUCCGAAUGACAUCCCAAAAAUCCUCCAGGUGCUUUCUUCAUCCAUUCAACAUAGAACAUUAUACUUUGAUAUAUGCAAAGCAAUUAUACACUAUUGGAAAAUCUCAGAAAAUAUUUUCUCUCCACUCGAAAUCGGUGGCAACGUAGCGAAUGUGAAGGAAGAUGCAAAAUUUUCUUCUGAAUCACCUCUGCCUUCUGGAAAGGGAAGUCAUAAAUUUUUGGAUUCAGUUGAUGCUGAGACUGCUAGUAGUUUCAGUGGAAGCAAUGUGGACAAUGUAGGACUUUCGUAUCCAGAUACCUCUCUGGAUGCAAUGAACCAAACUGACCCUCCUGGCUCUCUGAGGAAUGGUGGGAAAAAUGGAGCGAAGGAUCAUCCUCCAACGAAUGAGAACCAAUCUGAGCAGAUUUAUAUUGAGUCUGCCAUGUCUUCUGCUUCAGUUAGCCAGCAAGCUGUGUCCGAUGUAACCUACCAAAGCUUAGUUGACAGAUCAAGUUUGAUAGGUCAUACUUCAUUUGCCUCAGGAAACAGUAGUGACAGUAAUGGUGGACUGGCAACUAUGUUUUGCCAGAGCAAAGCAGGCAAUCAUGUGGGUUUUGGACGGGAUGCAAGAAAUCCUACAAUUGACCAUGCAUACAUGGGGAUUUCUUUUAAACCAAAUGCUUAUGUAAAUCACUAUAUUCAUGGGCAUUUAGCUGCAACGGCAGCUGCUAAGCUGGCUGUUCUUUCAUCGGAGGAAAGUCACAUUUCUGAGGCAAACAAAUCAAGCAGUGCCAGAAAAUUUACAUCUACAAGUAACAUCUUCCUUCAAGUAAAAGCUUUCUCAUCAUCAGCCUCACGAUUUUUCUGGCCAAGUGCUGAAAAGAAGUUGUUGGAUGUUCCGAGGGAAAGGUGUGGUUGGUGUCAUUCUUGCAGGGCCUCCGCUUCAAGCAAGAAAGGAUGCAUGUUGAAUUCUGCUGUCUCCACUGCCACUAAAAGUGUCAAUAAAAUCCUUGUUGGCUUUCCUCCUUUAAAGAGUGGAGAGGGUAGUCUUCCUAGCAUUGCAACAUAUGUUUUAUACAUGGAGGAGAGUUUACGUGGUCUUGUAGCUGGCUCCUUCUUAAGCCCAGAUUAUAGGAAACAAUGGCGUAGAAAAGUGGAAGAAGCUUCAACCUGUGAUGCAAUAAAAGUCCUCUUGCUUGAUCUUGAGGAGAACAUUUCCAUUAUUUCUCUUUCUGCGGACUGGAUCAAGCUAAUGGAUGAUUGGUUAGUAGAACCUUCUGUGAUUCAAAGCACUUCAUCCACUGUGGGAUUGCCACAGAAACGUGGACCAGGUGGAAGAUGUCAAAGGAAACAGUCUGUUGUAUCUGAAGUUACAGCCAAUGACAGCAAUGAUAAAAGUUUUGAUUGGUGGCGUGGAGGGAAGUUAUCAACUAAUGUAUUCCAGAAAGCAAUUUUGCCUCGUUCAAUGGUCAGAAAAGCUGCACGACAAGGUGGUGUGAGAAAGAUUUCUGGUAUUAAUUAUGUUGACGAAUCUGAGAUUCCUAAAAGAAGCAGACAAUUAAUUUGGAGAAAUGCAGUUGAAAGGAGUAAGAAUACGGCGCAGCUUGCACUUCAGGUUAGAUACCUAGACCUUCAUGUGAGAUGGAAUGAUCUUGUUCGUCCUGAGCAUAACAUCCCAGACGGAAAAGGUACAGAGACAGAAGCAUCUAUUUUUAGAAAUGCAAUUAUCUAUGAUAAGAAAAUUGUGGAAAGCAAGAUCCAAUAUGGAGUUGCUUUCAGAAAUCAAAAGCAUCUUCCUUCACGUGUCAUGAAGAAUAUAAUUGACAUUGAGCAAACUGAAGACAAAAAAGAGAAAUAUUGGUUUCUUGUAGCACACAUACCUUUAUAUUUGAUCAAAGAAUAUGAAGAAAGAAUGAGUACUGUGGUUUUGCCAUCAGUUAAGAAGCCUUUCAGUGAGUUAUCUGACUUACAAAGAAGGCAGUUGAAAGCUUCCCGUAGGAAUAUAUUUACUUAUCUGACGUGUAAGAGAGAUAAGUUGGAGAAGUGCUCUUGUGCUUCAUGUCAAAUGGAUGUUUUACUGAGGAAUGCGGUCAAGUGUGGCACAUGCCAAGGUUAUUGUCAUCAGGACUGUACUUUAAGCUCGCAUAUGAAUGGGAAAGUUAAGUGCUUCAUCAUUUGCAAGCAGUGUUACCGUGCCAAAGCUCUUGCUCAAAAUGAAAUCAAUACCAAGUCUCCUACCACUUUGUUGCACUUGCAAGGACGAGACUGUCACAGUGCACCAGCAGUCUCCAAAGGCAUGCAAGUUAAAAGUUCUAUUCAACCCAUGAAAUCACUGGCCUAUGUCAGAAGUAAGGAAAAUUCUGUCAGAAUUCAGGAAAGAAGUUCUGAUACAAAGAAACCUGCUUCUCUUUCUGGCUUUGCGACGAAGCAAAGGAAGUGUAAUUGGGGGGUCAUAUGGAGGAAAAAGAACAGUGAUGAAACUGGAAUUGACUUCAGGCGUGCAAACAUUCUCACAAGCGGUGGUUCACAUUACCACUCUUUGAAGCCUAUUUGUGAGCUGUGUGAACAACCCUAUAAUUCUGAUCUAAUGUAUAUUCACUGUGAAACUUGCAGAAAGUGGUAUCAUGCUGAAGCUGUUGAACUUGAGGAGUCUAGGAUUUCUAAUGUGGUUGGAUUCAAAUGUUGCAAGUGUCGAAGGAUAAGAGGACCUGAUUGUCCUUUCAUGGACCCUGAACUUAGAGAGCAAAAACGCAAGAAACAAUUUGGAAAGCCACAGAAACAGGGACAAGGAAGCAUAGUAUUGGACUCUGAUUUUGGAACUAUUUCUGACUUCAAAGAGUGUAAUCCCAUCACUCCUAUAAUUUCUACAGAGGAUGAGCUUGUACUGGCUAAUGAUCCUCUUCUUUUCACCCUUACAAAAGUUGAGCAAAUAACAGAUAACAAUUCAGAAGUGGAUGUUGAGUUGAAUACUGCUUCUGGCCCUGGGCUACAGAAAUUACCAGUCAGAAGGUAUGUGAAGCGGGAAGGAGAGGUGGAUGGUCUUGCUGGGUCUGAUCUUGGUCAAGUUGAAAUAUUGACAUGUCCUGAACCUAAUGAUUCUGUGGAGCCAAAGGAGGACUCAUCUAUCGUUUUUGCAGAAUGGAAUGCUUAUGGUGAUAUCCUUGAAGGCAAGCUGCUGGAUUAUGAAAGUCUUAACAAUAAGGAUAUGGAGUUUGAACCACAGACUUAUUUCUCUUUUAGUGAGCUGCUAGCAUCUGAUAAUGGUGAUCAAGUUAAUGGAAAUGAUGCAACGGGUGAUGGGUCAGGAAACUGGGAAAAUGCAUCUUGUUCAAUUUCACAGGAUGGAUUCCCUAAACAAUGUGGAAUUGAUACUUUUAAUAAUCAAGCCGAACCCAUGAAUUCUGAUGUUAAUGCACUGCAUUGUCAUGUGUGUCUACAGUAUGAACCUGCCCCUGACCUUCAUUGUGAGAUUUGUGGCUUUUUGAUGCACAGUCAUUGUUCUCCUUGGGAUGAGUCUUCAUCAUCAGAAGGCAGCUGGAGGUGUGGCCGGUGCCGAGAAUGGCGCUAGUUGGCUCAAUGUUUUGUAAGGUUCGAGAUUAUCUUCUGUACCGGUUCGUUUAAUUGUUAGAGGGAGGCAACGUGAGCCACUGGUGACAAGUUUUUAUUACCACACUGGUCAUUGAUGUUCCGCAUUGAUGGUGGAAAACAAGUCCCAAUGCCCCCCGUUGCUGGAGUUUCUCGACGCUAAGAAGCUACUGCAUUUUUUGCAGUGGCUUUUUUGUUGAUACUCCCUCAGACCUCUUUCCUCUGAUCGGAUCAGUGUGCUCUUUUAGAACCAAAAGGAAAAAACCUAAGACCAUAACCAUUCCAAUCGUUUGGCUCAGAUGGUUUGGUGAAGAGCAAGUAAUUUUGGAUGAAUUGCUUUGGACAUCGAUUCUAUGGCAAAGACACCACAAGAUUAAGAGAUAUUACUUGGAUCUUGAAAGGCCUCUUGCUCUCCAUGGCCCAGGCCAUGCUAUAAUCUUAGCUUGCAGCAAAGACCAAAUAAGAGGGUCACAUUUGGGCCGUUCAACGGUACGAAGUGGGAGAAAGAUUAGAGAUCAAUGGAAUGAUUUAACUCAAUAUCUAGUUACUUCGAACGGACAGGUUUUUUUUUUU